UACGAGCUCGGAUCACUAGUACGGCCGCAGUGUGCGGAAUCGCCCUUAGAGUUUGAUCCUGGCUCAGGACGAACGCUGGCGGUGCGCCUUAUGCAUGCAAGUCGAGCGAAGCUUUUCAGUAGUUUACUACAGAAAAUGACUGAGCGGCGAACGGGUGAGUAACGCGUGAGCAAUCUACCUUAGUUACAGGGAUAGCCCGAGGAAACUCGGAUUAAUACCUGAUAUUCUUUAUUUCUCGCAUGAGAAUAAAAGGAAAGGUCAGCCGAACUAAGAUGAGCUCGCGUUCUAUCAGCUAGUUGGUGAGGUAAAAGCUUACCAAGGCUACGACGGAUAGCUGGUCUGAGAGGACGAUCAGCCACACUGGGACUGAGACACGGCCCAGACUCCUACGGGAGGCUGCAGCAGGGAAUAUUGUGCAAUGAACGAAAGUUUGACACAGCGACACCGCGUGUGGGAUGACGGAUCUAGGUUUGUAAACCACUUUCAGGAGGGAAGAAAAUGACGGUACCUCCACAAGAAGCCCCGGCCAACUACGUGCCAGCAGCCGCGGUAAUACGUAGGGGGCGAGCGUUG
rnacentral:rRNA from 1 species